rnacentral:rRNA from 1 species
UACGUAGGUGGCAAGCGUUGUCCGGAUUUACUGGGUGUAAAGGGCGUGCAGCCGGAGAGACAAGUCAGAUGUGAAAUCCACGGGCUCAACCCGUGAACUGCAUUUGAAACUGUUUCCCUUGAGUGUCGGAGAGGUAAUCGGAAUUCCCGGUGUAGCGGUGAAAUGCGUAGAGAUCGGGAGGAACACCAGUGGCGAAGGCGGCCUACUGGGCUCUAACUGACGCUGAGGCACGAAAGCGUGGGUAGCAAACAGG